rnacentral:rRNA from 1 species
AAUGAACGUUGGCGGCGUGGAUUAGGCAUGCAAGUCGUGCGGAAGUGGCCCGCAAGGGUUACUUUAGCGGCGAAAGGGAGAGUAAUACGUAGGUACCUACCCCUGGAACCGGGAUAGCUGCGGGAAACUGCAGGUAAUACCGGAUAAGGUCUCCUGACCAAAGGUGUGAUUCCGUCCGGGGAGGGGCCGGCGUCCUAUUAGCUAGUGGGUGAGGUGAUGGCUCCGCAAGGCAAAGAUGGGUACGGGGUAUGAGAGUAUGCCCCCGCUCACUGGGACUGAGACACUGCCCAGACACCUACGGGUGGCUGCAGUCGAGGAUCUUCGGCAAUGGGGAAAACCCUGACCGAGCGACGCCGCGUGUGGGAUGAAGGCCCUCGGGUUGUAAACCACUGUCAGAGGGGAUGAAAUGCUAUGGGGUUCUCUCCAUAGUUUGACAUAUCCUCAGAGGAAGGACGGGCUAAGUUCGUGCCAGCCGCCGCAGUAA